rnacentral:lncRNA from 1 species
AUUAUAACAAAUGAUAAACCAGCACAAUUGGCAUGGUGGUUACUCUAUAUGUAUACUAAAUAUCACUCCCUCUAUUCCAAAUUAUAAGUGGUUUUAGCUUUUUAGAUAAAUAAUAAAAGUUAUUUGCCUGCUGCUGUAAGUUGGAUUUCUGCACUAUUUCGUGGGUUUACCAUUUACCACACAUCAACGUGUCAUAUGUCCUUGUACAAGUCUUGAAGCAGCAUUCAACGUACGUGAAGAGCACCUUUCUAGCAUUUCCUCUUGACAAAUCACUAUAAAAGGAUCAGAUCAUCACGUAUAUAUGUAGUAUGUUUUUACCAUCAUAGCCAGCAGUUCGACAACAUUAAGAUAUAUAUAUAUAUAUAUAUAUAUAUAUAUAUAUAUAUAUAUAUAUAGAACUAUUAGUCCAUAGCUAGCUAUAGAAUAAGUGACCCAGCCUCCUCAUUCUGCCGCCGAUAGGCAUGCAUGCUUUGAUUCAUGCAUGCGCAGACGUACGGCUACCUUGCUGUACGGCCGCCAUGGCGAUCGUGCGAGCGGAACCUCACCUCCUAUGUGGUGGGAUACGUACUGCACCUCCCUGCUGGCUGCUGCUGCACAUCAUUGGAGAAACCGAGGAGUCUGAGUCUGACCAUCAUUGGCUCCGGGCCAGGUGAGGCGUGCGCCAUCGAUCCAGCCGGCCUACUCCACGUGUACGCCCAUGCAUAUAUAUGAUGCGCACGGAGGAUGCAGUCGCCGGACUCGACGUUCGCAUCCAGUACCGCCUCUGAUCCCCGUCGUACGUACGUAGAGCCCCCGCGACGAACAACACGGGUUCCGUUGUUGGCCUGAGUUGCUUGCCUCGCGCGGAUGUCGACUCCGGCGGCGACGCGGCCGGCACACACACCCCUGUGGCUUCGUCCCUCGCGCGCAUGGCGACCCAGCUGUGCGGCUUAUUACCCCGCGACAACGACGCUUUCCUCCCUCACGAUGGGUUUGCUUGUACAAAUACGUACAGAUGAACUUUGUGAUGUAUUACCGAUGAAUGACGACAUGUUAGUAUUUGGUUUUCUUAUUUUUCCUGUUGUUUACUGUCGGAAAGAACCAAAUUGUGUAUCUACAAAUUUCACGUGUAUCAAUGUUUAGGAAAUUGAGAUGGUAAGUUGCCGUAAUUCCCCUUCUAAUUAUAGUGCACAUUCUCGUAAUCUCGUAAAUUUUUCAUGGUGGAGAUUCGCGUAAAUCUCAUAAAAUUUUCUUAUUUCUCGUAACUAUACUUCCUACUGCAGAUUGUCGUAAAUACUACUUAAUGCAUAUUCUCGUAGGCCAGUAAAUAUUUUUUUACUGUAGUUUCUCGUAAAUAUUUCUUAGUGCAUACUCUCAUAAAUAUUAUUAGUGAAAAUUCUUGUAAAUAGUUCUUAAUGCAGAUUGACGUAAAUAUUUGUUAAUGCAAAAUCUCAUAAAUAUUUCUUUAGUGCAAAUUCUUGUAAAUCUGUAGUGUAGAUUCUUGAAAAUAUUACUUGGCGUGAUUCUUGUAAAUAUUUCUUGCUCACUGAUGGAAUGUAGUAAUUGAACCGACGCACACCAGGUGCAUGCAUGCACUGUGCUGGACGGAAAUCACGGAAGCAAGCGUGACCAGGCCAAUUCUUUCCUACUUUACACGCGGCUAAUUUAGGUGCGCCAGUAAAUGUCGCAUGCGGCCCUAAGCUUGAGGACACGCCCCAACGGAUCAGAGGUGCCCAGGUGGGUUCGCUGUUUAGACCAGGCUACAAAAUAAGUUAUUUUUGUACUCUCUCCAUACCUCAAUUUGUUGACGUUCUGAGGGGAAGGUGCGUUUGCGUUUUAGUUGACGUCCUGGCUGGCUGCCGACGAGUGAAGAAUGACCCGAUUGCCCCCUUGAGUACUCGAUGGACUUGCAUGUACAUCGCUUCGUUUCCUGGCCGCAUUAAACGCACGGCGCCUCGUCCGCUCCUGCAUGCAUGCGUACUCGCAGUAAUGCUCUCGCACGGCGCCUCCGUCCGCUCUCGCAUUGGCCGCAUUAAACGCACGAUGUUUACCAUGCAAAAUCAAAUUACGUGGACAGUUACUGCGCUCGCACGGCGCCUCCGUCCGCUCUCGCAUUGGCCGCAUUAAACGCACGAUGUUUACCAUGCAAAAUCAAAUUACGUGGACAGGGAAAAAAAGCAUCGCUGAAGGGCUUCGAACCCUGCCCGCCUAGGUGAAAGCACACCGACCUGGCCAUCCUAGCAUUGCCUCGAUUGUUGUAUAUAGAAUACCCGCAGCCCUAUUUAAUAGGGGUAAACAUGGAAGAAUAGCCCCUAAUUAAUGACUCCUUGGUAAGCACAAUCAUGUCUUAAACGUCAACUAAUUCAGGUAUGGAGGGAGUAGCUAGCUACAAACUAUACUCUCCCUAUAUAUAUAUAUAUAUAUAUAUAUAUAUAUAAACCCUACUAAGCUAAUUCUCUUGCACCUCCUUGCGCCACAU